rnacentral:rRNA from 1 species
CCAGAGUUUGAUCAUGGCUCAGAUUGAACGCUGGCGGCAGGCCUAACACAUGCAAGUCGAGCGGUAGCACAGAGAGCUUGCUCUCGGGUGACGAGCGGCGGACGGGUGAGUAAUGUCUGGGAAACUGCCUAUGGAGGGGGAUAACUACUGGAAACGGUAGCUAAUACCGCAUAACGUCGGACCAAAGAGGGGGACCUUCGGGCCUCUUGCCAUCAGAUGUGCCCAGAUGGGAUUAGCUAGUAGGUGGGGUAACGGCUCACCUAGGCACGAUCCCUAGCUGGUCUGAGAGGAUGACCAGCCACACUGGAACUGAGACACGGUCCAGACUCCUACGGGAGGCAGCAGUGGGGAAUAUGCACAAUGGGCGCAAGCCUGAUGCAGCCAGCCGCGUGUAUGAAGAAGGCCUUCGGGUUGUAAAGUACUUUCAGCGGGGAGGAAGGUGUUGAGGUUAAUAACCUCAGCAAUUGACGUUACCCGCAGAAGAAGCACCGGCUAACUCCGUGCCAGCAGCCGCGGUAAUACG